rnacentral:rRNA from 1 species
UACAUAAGGAGCAAGCGUUGUCCGGAAUUAUUGGGCGUAAAGCGCUCGUAGGCGGUCCUGAAAGUCAGCUGUGAAAUCACCAGGCUUAACCUGGUAGGGUCAGCUGAAACUUCAGGACUUGAGGGUAGAAGAGGAAAGCGGAAUUCCAUGUGUAGCGGUGAAAUGCGUAGAGAUCAGGAGGAAUACCGAAGGCGAAGGCAGUCUUCCAAGCCGUUAUUGACGCUCAACUGCGAAGGUGUGGGUAUCAAACAGGAUUAGAUACCCGUGUA